ensembl:lncRNA
UACUUUUACCAGUCAAUAGGAGGAAGGUAAUUUAGAACCUGUGGAGCAGUGAGGAGGGAGAAUAAUGGAAUAGAGUCAUGGUUUUAAAUGGUAAAUAUUAAAUUAUGUUUCCUAUGUAUCCUGUCUGUUACCCAAGCAAAGCUGUCAGCUGGCUUGCACAUGAGGAUAAUGCAAUGUAGUGAUAAUUGGAAACUCCUAUUGCAGAAGCAAAUGUUGGAGAAGACCUGCUCUCAUCACUUUCACGAGAUGACAUCAAAGAUCUGUUUCCUGGUCCUGAACAUUGCCUCAGGCGUCGGGCUCUAUGGCUUGCAGUGCACAAAUGUGAAGAAAACAAGACUGCUGCUGAAAAAACGCUAACAACUACUGGAGAUGGUGACUUCUUCAGAGAGGAACCCAGCACUUACCUCCAUCCAAAAACUUUGGAUGGAGUGGAACAUGCAGCAGCUGUGUUCAGAGCCCUUCCCAUGCUUUUCCCUUCCAGCACAGUACCACCUAAGAAGCUGGGCAUCUGUAGUGAGGCUUUUUUCCAUGUCCUAAAGACUUCAGAAGACCCUGAAGGCUACCUGCGUCAGCGACCCCUGGCUUGUCCAGUUCUGCUUGUCUCUGAAGGCAACUGCAUGAUAGCUGUUAGAACCACACCGGUGAGCACUUUUGACCGGAAGGAUCUUAAUGAGGGACUGCUCUAUCUGAUGGCAUAUUACUAUGCCCUCCACCUCACAUAUCCAUAGUGCAUAGUGUCUGUCUUGCAAACUGAAAUACUCAAAGACUCCAUCCAUGACCGAGAUUCAACCCCCUCUUACAAGAAGGCGCUUGGUGAGUGGAAGUCAUUCAUUGAGUGAGUCUCCCAGAUGAGAGACUCCAUCUGCCUUGUUUAUCAGACUCAGUGUUAGUCAGUGAGGUUGUUUUUUUUUCUAUAGAAAAGUUGUUCAAAUGUAAAACACAUGUUUGUUUGUGUGGUCGUUAAACGUGUUCUUCUAAAAUGUUAUUUUUGUAAUAUAGGAUUUGAAAUAGUGAUUGUUUUAAGCUUCAGCAAAAUUUAUUUUUGAUACCAGCCAAGAGUGUGUUAUACUGUUAUUAUUCAUUUUAAGAGUAUCUGGAAUAUGCACUUCUUAUAUUGGCCAUGUUACACAGUACCCUGCUGAAAUGUAUAAUUUUAGGCAUGAUUCUCCUGGAACAGACCUCAGUGAGUUACUGACCCAUUGCUGUGUCAAUAAAAGCG